CCCUUAGAUGUCCUGGGCCGCACGCGCGCUACACUGAGUGUCUGAGAUACGAGUCUGCCUGGUCCGGCAAGGUCUAGGUAAUCGCUAAAAGACACAUCAUGCUUGGGAUAGAUUAUUGCAAAUAUUAAUCUUGAACGAGGAAUUCCUAGUAAGCGCAAGUCAACAGCUUGCGUUGAUUACGUCCCUGCCCUUUGUACACACCGCCCGUCGCUACUACUGAUUGGAUGUUCAAGCGAGGUUCUCGAACUGCUAGCGACUUAGCUUCGGUGAGGUCGCAGUGUGGGAAGUGAACCUAGCUUUGGUGUCUAGAGGAAGUAAAAGUCGUAACA
rnacentral:rRNA from 1 species